rnacentral:lncRNA from 1 species
GGCACCAAAGUUGUAAUGUUCCAUAAUGUCAAAAAUGAGUAUAUAGCAGUGCAUUUUUCACAUAAUAGUAUGAUUUGUACAUCAAACUUGAGUAAGCAUAUGCCGGUAUAAUACCUAGUGUACGUUACAAAUUAAUUAUGUCGACAUGCCCAAAAUAAAUACAUCUUGAUAAUGUUGUCAUCCCCUCCCCCGCGGGCACACACUGAUAAAUGUAUGGAUAGUUGCAUGCUCGGCAUGAAGACACGCGUGCUAUAUGAACUGAUCUUGACCUCCAAGCCGACAUGAACUGUACAAGUCAGACCAAAGCACGAAAGUAGUUAGAAAAUGCAUUCCUAUUUGAAGAGUAACUAAUCGUAUGGAUAAGCUCAUAUUAACCUGUCAAUUUGGGAUCCAAUUCAAGUUUUUUCUUGGAAAGUUUCAGAAAGAAAUUGGAAUGGAAUAAUAUAGAUGCAUACAGAGGAAAAGGUUCUCUACUGAUCGGUUUCAAAAAAUAUCCAGAAAUCCAAUUUGGCUCCCGGGAGCAUUUGCUCCUGCGCGUGAAAAAUAAAUUUUGAAUAUGAAAAAAAUUCCAAUAAAAUUUUGAUGUAUUUAUAAUCACAUCCAAAUGCUACCUGGAAAUUUUAGACAAAAAGGUUCAAUAUUUUGGUCCAUGCAAAAAUAAAAGUUCGAACAUCAUUUUACCCCAAAAUGUCACCCUGAAUUUGUUGUUUCCACCGGUGAAACACUACCGCUCCGUUUCAAACGAACGCUAUCAAGCAUGAGAGAGAGAGAGAGAGAGAGAGAGAGAGAGAGAGAGAGAGAGAGAGAGAUCUGCGUGAUUCCAGCUCUAAUAGAAAGGGAGAUGGGAGGGGGGGGUUGAUUAACUAAGCUAGCUUCAGUGUAUGAGAUAUCAAUAAAGCCUUCAGUUUGAACAAGAUAUAGUCUUCCUUCAUUUUAUUUGGGUGUACGAACUGGAAUUUUUCAAUUUUUGUAUCAUCUCUUUGACUUGCAUAUCUCUAGAAUAUGACACUCUCCAUGAAUUGUUCUUCUUUGUGCUGAUGCGAAACCUAUCUAUUUAAGCAAGGAGACGCUUUCAACACCCAAGUGUCCCUACACCCUCUAUGAACAUUAAAUUGAGAAACAACUGAAACCAAAAUAAAAAAAAUCUGAAACUUUGGAACACUAAACAUGACCAAACAUUCUAUGUUCUUGCAAAAUAUCGGCCUCAAAUAACAUUCGAGGAGCCCUCACCUAAAAAUAAAAAUUAGUGUUCAUAGUUUAUAUGCACUUUUGAACAGUAUUGUUUUUUGUGAGGGGUGCUCAACUGUUAUUUGUGGCUACAAGAACUUCAGAAGUUUGAUCAUCUUUGUUUCCUCAAAGUUUUAGAUUUUUUGGUUUAUUUAUUUGAAUUUAUUGUUUAUGAGGGUGUAGAGGCACCGGGGAACCGUCACACCUUUUCUUUAAGCAAGACACAUCUGGCCUCUCGUCUAAUAAAGUCUCUGAUCUGUUUCAUGCUCUAAGCAUUAUCGUUUGUUUUGCCGGCGGUCCAUGAGUAAUAAAGAAAAGAUGUGUGCUUCAUGUGUGCCAGUUGAAUAAGAGCAAGUACAAUAGUAGAGCCGGCUGCCGGCUGUAAGCUCAUGCCAUGUUACCUAUAGUCCAUCUUAUGGCUAACAUGUACAAUAGUUGGUUAGAGGAUUGUACUACUUAUUUAUUAUAUGACCCACCUUUCAUUCUCAUAAAGUGCCUAGGAGCACGUGCUAGAGCUGG